GUGCGGCCCCAGCCCCGCCCCCGCAGCCCCGCCCCGCCCCGCCGCGAGCGAGGGCGGGGACCGCUGCGCCUACCUGCCUUUCCCUCCAUAGGGACUUCCCAAAGGAAAGGAGGGCGUUUAGGGGCUUUCACACGCCUGAUCUUAAACACAGCGCCCUGACCCCUCCCCACCAAAAACGGCAAAAUGUCAUUUUUGGGGGCAAAUCUAAGGUUUUCCCUACAAUUGUUCAAGCUUUCACACUAAAACAUUUACCUAAAAACGGGCAGAAAUUCAGCCUUAAACCCACAAAUCUCACGAUGGUAUAGACCCUGGGCCCACUCAGGUUUCCUGAAAACUAAACAGUUCUGGAGUUAGGGGUUUGGAGAACGGGCUAUUGUUAAAGAAAAAAGUAUUUAGUGACACUUGUUAAAGCACAAAAAGAGGGCUUUAUUCAGGACCAUCGCAACAGGUAUAGGGACCACUGACUGCAAUGGAGACUUGCAGUAGGGAAAGAGAUAUUGGGCUCAACUCCUCAUACAGCAUGGGCAAGUGGAGAUUUAUAGCCAAGGAGCGGUGACAGGCCAAGAUAAUGAGGCAUCACCUGGGGGAUGGUGGAGACUGAAGAACCUGAUCAGAUAUUGAGGAUGAUCAGCUAUCAAGGAUGGGGGUUUAUUGCUAAUCUGACUUAGCAAAGUUCUUUGCUUAAACUGGAUUUUACAAAGAAAGUGUACAGAAGAGCCUAGCAGAAGAUUCAGAAACCUGACUAAAGUUGGCCAAGCAAAAAAAAAAAUCUUUGUAUCUGAAGGGAUAUGUUAUCCUCUGGACAAAUUGAGGGGGACUGUGCGUUAACAAUCUUAGCAGUCCUCUUCAGUUGUACCACCAUCUCCACUUUAAUAAAAAAAAAUUUUCUUUCAAA
rnacentral:lncRNA from 1 species